rnacentral:rRNA from 1 species
UACAGAGGUCUCAAGCGUUGUUCGGAUUAAUUGGGCGUAAAGGGUGUGUAGGUGGCGCCGUUAGUCGGGUGUGAAAUUUCGGAGCUUAACUCCGAAACUGCAUUCGAUACUGCGGUGCUUGAGGACUGGAGAGGAGACUGGAAUUCAUGGUGUAGCAGUGAAAUGCGUAGAGAUCAUGAGGAAGACCAGUGGCGAAGGCGGGUCUCUGGACAGUUCCUGACACUGAGACACGAAGGCCAGGGGAGCAAACGGG